rnacentral:rRNA from 1 species
ACGGAGGGUGCAAGCGUUAUCCGGAUUCACUGGGCGUAAAGGGCGCGUAGGCGGGAUGGCAAGUCAGUCGUGAAAUCUCUCGGCUCAACCGAGAAACGUCGGCUGAUACUGCCGUUCUUGAGGGAUGCAGAGGAGACUGGAAUUCCCGGUGUAGCGGUGAAAUGUGUAGAGAUCGGGAGGAACACCGGUGGCGAAGGCGGGUCACUGGACGACUGUUGACGCUGAGGUGCGAAAGCGUGGGGAGCAAACAGGA